rnacentral:rRNA from 1 species
AGAGUUUGAUCCUGGCUCAGAACGAACGCUGGCGGCAGGCCUAACACAUGCAAGUCGAGCGAGACCUUCGGGUCUAGCGGCGGACGGGUGAGUAACGCGUGGGAAUGUGCCCUUCUCUACGGAAUAGCCUCGGGAAACUGGGAGUAAUACCGUAUACGCCCUUUGGGGGAAAGAUUUAUCGGAGAAGGAUCAGCCCGCGUUGGAUUAGGUAGUUGGUGGGGUAAUGGCCUACCAAGCCGACGUUCCAUAGCUGGUUUGAGAGGAUGAUCAGCCACACUGGGACUGAGACACGGCCCAGACUCCUACGGGAGGCAGCAGUGGGGAAUCUUAGACAAUGGGGGCAACCCUGAUCUAGCCAUGCCGCGUGAGUG